UCUGACGAAAAUAGCGAGCUGGAACCACCUGAUCCCAUAUCGAACUCAGAAGUGAAACGGCUUAGCGCCGAUGGUAGUGUGGGGUCUCCCCAUGUGAGAGUAGGACAUCGUCAGGC
rnacentral:rRNA from 1 species